rnacentral:rRNA from 1 species
CUCAAAAGAGUCUUUGAAUAAUUUUCUUUAACCGAAAAGCUUGGAUUUCAUAAAUAGUUGUUUAGAAUUAGUAUCGGGUAGAUCUUAAAAAUUAUUUUUGCGAUGUGAAAAAUUAGUCGUCAAGUUUUAUAUCUGUUUAAUAGCUUUAAAUUUUUAAUUAUUAAUCUAGCAAAGAUGUUAGGUUAAAGUUUACAUUAUUUAUUUUCUAUACUAAAAUAGGGUUAAAGGUACCCAAUUUUAAAAAAAUUGUUUAAAAUUUUAUUAUUUAGAUGAAUAAUUACACUAAAGGCUAUUUAAUAUAAAUUUUUAGAGAUUAAGAAUUUUUGAAUAAGUAAUAAAAAAAAUUAAAUCAUUUCUCAAGUAUUGCCCGUCUGUUUAUUAAAAACAUUUCUAUAAAAAAUUUUUUAUAGUAUUACCUGCUCUAUGUUUAUUAUAAAUGGCCGCAGUAUCUUGACUGUGCGAAGGUAGCAUAAUUAAUUGCCUUAUAAUUGAAGGCUUGUUUGAAUGGUUUGACGUGGUAAUUACAAAUGUUUUAAUUUUAUUUGAAAUUUAUUUAGAGGGCACAGAAUCCUCUAAAAUUAAUUAGACGGAAAGACCCCAGGAUCUUUAUUUUUUGUCUGGGGCAGAUACCUUUAUUUCAAAGUUAUUAAGAUCCUCUUAAAGCAUAGUGAGUUAAGUUACCCUGGGGAUAACAGUGUAAUAGUUUAUUAGAGUUCCUAUCGAUUAAACUGUUUGCUACCUCGAUGUUGACUUAGGUAAAUAAGUUAGGCGCAGUAGUUUAAUUUUUUGGUCUGUUCGACCAAUUAUACCUCCAUGAGUUGAGUUAAGACCGGCGUGA